rnacentral:other from 1 species
UUCAGCCUGGGGUGUUUGCCAAUUGACACGUCCCUGAGCCGAUAAUUGAAAACACGGGUUAUGCUCGUUAUUGGUGGUGUGCAUGUCCGCUUGACGGAAAGCCUGAUCCAAUUCAGCGUUUCCCACCUUGAACUUCGGGUUCGAGGCCACGUCAGUAGCGGCACCUUGGGUCCUAU